rnacentral:misc_RNA from 1 species
UUAAAACUAUUGUAUAGUACUCGGACAUCACUAAAAACAGAGUUUGGGUUUCCUCUGGCAGGCACGCACCAGCCGGGGCCCGUGGUGUUUCCACGGCCUGCCAAAGCAACUAAGGUAUAGUAUUCAAGGGUGGGAGAUCUACCCGUGAGGGCAUGAACUCUGUAAUGAUCCUUCCGCAGGUUCACCUACGGAAA